rnacentral:lncRNA from 1 species
CUGACACUUGGUUUUUCUAAAAUGCAUUAUCCACCUCAAUUUUGUUUUUCUUCUCCACUUUCCACAGGAAACCAGUUUCCUCCAAUUGCAGCGCAGGACCUUCCUUUCAUCCUGAAGGCUGGCUACCUUGAAAAACGCAGAAAAGGUAGGCUGUAAGAGUCUAAUGAAAAAUCUAAAAAUGGUUUCCUCCUUAGAUAAAAUAUAAAGAGAGAAUACUGCAGUAUACAUGUGUAGCCAGUAUGCUCUUUAAGUAGAAGAGUUUAGGACCAUAAGAAAAUCUGCAAUGACAUUAUCCAAACCAUAAAAUAAUAUAAUUUUUAGCUUUAAAUCAUUUUAAAUAACAAAACAUUAGGUCAGGUUUUUUAGUUGUCAGCCUGAGCUGUUUAUGAAUUAUUCAGGCACUAUUUCCCCAUCCUCUAGGAAAGCUGUGGGCCAUCACUGUUCCCAAGGAUGGGAUUUCUCACUGUUAAUCAUCCUGUUGAGCAGCAUUCUGUCCUGCACCCAACUUGGCACACACCAGAACUGGUUCAGAUCAAGCCUGGCAUCUUGUCUUGCCACUGUUUUUAUUCGUUUCAGUGUUCCUCUCCAUUGGCCAUAAUAAUUGGGAGUUGACCAGAUGGUCUCAUUCUUUCAACACCAAAGUUUAAUGGAAAUGAAAUAUGGAGGUGGUGUUAUGAUAUGGGAAGUGAAGGGCAGAAAGUCUCUUCAUUACUGUUCUGCUUAUCUCUUGGGUAAUCCCUUUGGGCUCUUUUGUUUAUAUUCUGUUUGCUUUUCUGAGCUUUCUUAGCUGAAUUUUAAAGCUGAAAGAUUUAAUAGAAAUAAUCUAGGUCAGCUCCUCCUACCAUCCUUUUUAUAACAGAUUAGAAACCAAAACCCAGAUGAACAAAUUAUCUCAAGGCUACACAUAGGACACCUUUCUGAAACUCUCUCUGUCAGGGAAGUUUGGUUACCAGGCAGUUGAUCACAAAAGAGUAGCAAGCACCAUCUCUGCUUUACUUUAUUACUUUUAGCUUUAUUGGGAUUUUUUUUUUUUUUUUUGUCUCUUGGAAUAGAGGAUACAUACUAAUUAGUCAUAGAAUUUUAGAGCUAAAAACAACCAUAGAAGUUAUAUUAACUAAUUUUUCCUUUUACCAGGAUAUGGCCUUAUAUUUGUAUGGCAUGUGUGUUAUCUAAACUAUUUUUUCUCCCCUUUUAUUGCAGAUCACAGCUUUUUGGGAUUUGAAUGGCAGAAACGGUGGUGUGCUCUCAGCAAAACAGUGUUCUAUUAUUAUGGAAGUGAUAAAGGUAGGUUAGUGUUCAGUUAAAGCAACUUCUAUUGCUUGA